UGCUGCACAGCCUCACUCACUGCAAGGAAGCAGAUGCACCAGUUUCAUAUUUGAGAACAAAAUGAGCCUGAAAAGCUGGUUUGGAUUCUCAGUCAGCCCAGAGAAUUUGACUUCUUCUCCGGUCAUCUGCAUCGGUGUUGUCGGUACUGUUGUCUCGGGGGCCGUUC